rnacentral:rRNA from 1 species
AGAGUUUGAUCAUGGCUCAGAAUCAACGCUGGCGGCGCGCUUAACACAUGCAAGUCGCACGAGAAAGUGGAGCAAUCCAUGAGUAAAGUGGCGUACGGGUGAGUAACACGUGGAUCAUCUACCUCUUGGUGGGGAAUAACCCUGGGAAACCGGGGCUAAUACCGCAUAAGCCUGUGAAGGGAAAGCAGCAAUGCGCCGAGAGAGGAGUCCGCGGCCGAUUAGCUAGUUGGUAGGGUAAUGGCCUACCAAGGCAAUGAUCGGUAGCCGGCCUGAGAGGGCACACGGCCACACUGGCACUGAAACACGGGCCAGACUCCUACGGGAGGCAGCAGUGGGGAAUCUUGCACAAUGAGGAGACUCUGAUGCAGCGACGCCGCGUGAGCGAUGAAGCCCUUCGGGGUGUAAAGCUCUUUCGACGGGAACGAUAAUGACGGUACCCGGAGAAGAAGCUGCGGCUAACUACGUGCCAGCAGCCGCGGUAAUACGUAGGCAGCAAGCGUUGUUCGGAAUUACUGGGCGUAAAGAGUGUGUAGGCGGUUCUCUAUGUUCGGUGUGAAAUCUCCCGGCUUAACUGGGAGGGUGCGCCGAAAACUGGAGGGCUUGAGUAUGGGAGAGGAAAGCGGAAUUCCUGGUGUAGCGGUGAAAUGCGUAGAUAUCAGGAGGAACACCUGCGGUGUAGACGGCUUUCUGGACCAUCACUGACGCUGAGACACGAAAGCGUGGGUAGCAAACAGGAUUAGAUACCCUGGUAGUCCACGCCCUAAACGAUGCAUACUCGGUGUGAGCCAUUCAUUCGGUUCGUGCCGGAGCUAACGCGUUAAGUAUGCCGCCUGGGGAGUACGGUCGCAAGGCUGAAACUCAAAUGAAUUGACGGG